GAUGGGAAGCCGUGAUGCGGAGUGAAAUAAAGUAACGAAGUCCGUGAGCCAUGCGUCAAGAAAAGCCGCUAUUGUUUAUACCGUACCCGUACCGUAAACCGACACAGGUGGAUGAGGAGAGAAUCCUAAGGCCGGCGGAAGAAGCAUUGUCAAGGAACUCGGCAAAAUGGCCCCGUAACUUAGGGAUAAGGGGUGCCUGGGAAACCAGGCCGCAGAGAAUAGGCUCAAGCAACUGUUUAGCAAAAACACAGGUCUAUGCGAAACCGAAAGGUGAGGUAUAUGGGCUGACGCCUGCCCGGUGCUGGGAGGUUAAGAGGAGAGGUUAGCGCAAGCGAAGCUUUGAAUUUAAGCCCCAGUAAACGGCGGCCGUAACGAUAACGGUCCUAAGGUAGCGAAAUUCCUUGUCGGGUAAGUUCCGACCCGCACGAAAGGCGUAAUGAUUUGAGCGCUGUCUCGACAAUGCAUCCGGUGAAAUUGAAGUACCAGUGAAGAUGCUGGUUACCUGCGCCAGGACGGAAAGACCCCAUGGAGCUUUACUCCAGUUUGGUACUGGGACUCGGUAUUGCAUGUACAGGAUAGGUGGGAGGCUUAGAGACAGUAACGCCAGUUAUUGUGGAGCCGCUGUUGGGAUACCACCCUUGCAGUAUUGGGUUUCUAACCAGCCGCCGUGACCCGGCGGUGGGACAAUGCCAGACGGGGAGUUUGACUGGGGCGGUCGCCUCCGAAAGGGUAUCGGAGGCGCCCAAAGGUUCCCUCAGAAUGGACGGAAACCAUUCGAAGAGUGCAAAGGCAGAAGGGAGCUUGACUGCGACACCGACGGGUGGAGCAGGUACGAAAGUAGGGCUUAGUGAUCCGGUGGUAUUAAGUGGGAAUGCCAUCGCUCAACGGAUAAAAGCUACCCUGGGAUAACAGGCCUAUCACUCCCAAGAGUUCACAUCGACGGAGUGGUUUGGCACCUCGAUGUCGGCUCAUCGCAUCCUGGGGCUGUAGUAGGUCCCAAGGGUUGGGCUGUUCGCCCAUUAAAGCGGUACGCGAGCUGGGUUCAGAACGUCGUGAGACAGUUCGGUCCCUAUCCGGCGUGGGCGUAGGAUAUCUGAGAGGAGCUGUCCUUAGUACGAGAGGACCGGGAUGGACGGGCCGCUGGUGCAUCGGUUAGACUGCCAAGUCUACGGCCGAGUAGCCAAGCCCGGAAGGGAUAAACGCUGAAGGCAUCUAAGCGUGAAGCCCCCCUUAAGAUGAGAUAUCCCAUUCGAAAGAAGUAAACCCCCUUGAAGACGACGAGGUAGAUAGGGCAGAGGUGGAAGUGUGGCAACACAUGGAGCUGACUGUUACUAAUCGGGUGAGGGCUUGAC
rnacentral:rRNA from 1 species